rnacentral:rRNA from 1 species
GAUGAACGCUGGCGGCGUGCUUAACACAUGCAAGUCGAACGAGAAAUGUAGACGGAAACCUUCGGGCGGAAGCCUUCAUUUCGAGUGGCGGACGGGUGAGUAACGCGUGGGUAACCUGCCUCAUACAGGGGGAUAACAGUUGGAAACGACUGUUAAUACCGCAUAAGACCACAGCAUCGCAUGAUGCGGGGGUAAAAACUCCGGUGGUAUGAGAUGGACCCGCGUUCGAUUAGCCAGUUGGCGGGGUAACGGCCCACCAAAGCGACGAUCGAUAGCCGAUCUGAGAGGGUGACCGGCCACAUUGGGACUGAGACACGGCCCAAACUCCUACGGGAGGCAGCAGUGGGGAAUAUUGCACAAUGGGGGAAACCCUGAUGCAGCGACGCCGCGUGAGUGAAGAAGUACUUCGGUAUGUAAAGCUCUAUCAGCAGGGAAGAAAAUGACGGUACCUGAGGAAGAAGCCCCGGCUAACUACGUG